AUACCUACCGGGUGGGGGACGGCCGCUGAUUAAGAGGGCGAGAUUGCAGGAAGAUGCUAUCCCAUUGCACUUCGAGUGUGCCAACGCCUGCGAUAUUUCCAAAUGGGAGAUACUCAUCUGCAAAAUUUGUGCUAGAGGGGGACUGCAUUCACACUCUCCCUUU